UACGUAGGGGGCAAGCGUUGUCCGGAUUUAUUGGGCGUAAAGAGCGUGUAGGCGGCUAGGUAGGUCCGUUGUGAAAACUCGAGGCUCAACCUCGAGACGUCGGCGGAAACCAUCUGGCUAGAGUCCGGAAGAGGAGAGUGGAAUUCCUGGUGUAGCGGUGAAAUGCGCAGAUAUCAGGAGGAACACCGGUGGCGAAGGCGGAUCUCUGGGCCAUAACUGACGCUGAGGAGCGAAAGCAUGGGGAGCGAACAGG
rnacentral:rRNA from 1 species